rnacentral:rRNA from 1 species
GAUGAACGCUGGCGGCGUGCCUAAUACAUGCAAGUCGAGCGAAUGGAUUAAGAGCUUGCUCUUAUGAAGUCAGCGGCGGACGGGUGAGUAACACGUGGGUAACCUGCCCAUAAGACUGGGAUAACUCCGGGAAACCGGGGCUAAUACCGGAUAACAUUUUGAACCGCAUGGUUCGAAAUUGAAAGGCGGCUUCGGCUGUCACUUAUGGAUGGACCCACGUCGCAUUAGCUAGUUGGUGAGGUAACGGCUCGCCAAGGCAACGAUGCGUAACCGACCUGAGAGGGUGAUCGGCCACACUGGGACUGAGACACGGCCCAGACGCCUACGGGAGGCAGCAGUAGGGAAUCUUCCGCAAUGGACGAAAGUCUGACGGAGCAACGCCGCGUGAGUGAUGAAGGCUUUCGGGUCGUAAAACUCUGUUGUUAGGGAAGAACAAGUGCUAGUUGAAUAAGCUGGCACCUUGACGGUACCUAACCAGAAAGCCACGGCUAACUACGUGCCAGCCGCCGCCGUAA